CCAACGUGUCUUCCUGCUGGGAGAUGGCAUGUCGUACGGAUUCUAGGUCCGCUGGGUUCAUCUUGGCCGGAUCGUUCUGUCACGAAUCGUCCAGGACGGGAACCCAAAAGCAGACCACACGGAAGAAUCAAAAUAAAAGACGCCACCGGGCGGACCACCCGGAGCACCAGGAGGACCACCCGGAGCACCAGGAUGGAGCCUAUAGAAGUCCCGGAGCAGACCGAGAAGUGCAAGAAGUGCAUCCCCAGUGGUGGAAAUUAUAAUACAUGUAGUAAUGUUUAGUGUUAGAAUUGUAGUUUGUUAUUAGAUAUUAGUUAUUACAUUAGCAUGUUAGAUGAAGAGAGUGCACUAUGAAUCAAAACACAAAGUAUAGUCAUGUAAAUCAUAUAAACACUGUACACAAUAACAUUCUUUCACAAUGUAAUGUUAAAACCUGGGGACGGAUGCUAAUAGCCGUCCUUUAUGGAUGUCUCCCAAUUGUCUCCCGAUUUUUCGGGGGCUUUUCCUUAACAAUGGUCUUUUGUUCAAGUUGUGCUAGACAGCCAUCUAGCACAACUUAACCUUUCAUUUCAAUAACUGCAAAUUAAACAAAAAAAUAACCAGUGAACUUGUUUAAUUUGUAGAACAAUAAAACUGCUUCUUUCUCUG